CUUCGCGAGUGCGAGGCGUUGCAAGCGUGUCGGUGCAGGUGCGGGACGAGGGUUGUGCGAGCGAGGCUAAGGGAUCGAGUGUAGUGCGAGUGCUGUGCGGAUUGUGCGAGUGAGUGGAGUCGAGGGCUGGAUCGAAGGCUGUGCGAGCGAGGCUAAGGGCUCGAGUGAGUUGAGUAUUGUGCGGUUGUGCGAAAGGCGCGCGACGAGGGAGCCCGUGAGUGUUCGAGGGACGUGCGAGGCUUGCUGCUGCUGUGCGAGGCUGCUGUUGCUGCUGUGCGAGUUGUGCGACGAAGCUCGAAGCGUGUGCGAGGCUGCUGCUGUGCGAAUCGAGGGCUGGUUCGAGCGUAGCCGUGCCGCUGCUGUGGUAGAGCGUGGUGUUGUGUGCCGUUGACGGAAAUCGGUCGCCGGAACUUGAUUUCCGGCAAGCUUAACGGUCCCAAUUUCAUAAGCGGAACGUUCGAUUAAGACAGCGAAAAUUCUCCGUUACAAGACUAGGUGUGCUGGUG